UUAUCAGUUUGUUAUUAAUACAAAUGUCCCAUGCCAUCUGUGGGAUGCCCUAAGUCUGUUGCAAAGUUCAAAAACCUAUUUUAAAAAAAAAUUGUACCAGGUGAUUUGGAUACACAGCCAAUGGUGGAGAAGCCCUGUUGGAAGCUCCUAUUUGGAAAUGCACAAAUAAAUUCACGUCAGGUCCUAGAAGGGCAUACUGUUGAGUCUGCUAUCAAAAAGUUUUCCCCUCCAAAAUUCCUAACAUGGUUUCAAGUUUUUAACUUCCAUUAAACAUUUAUGUAAGUUGCCACCAGGUGGAACAAGUGCCUAUUGUUUUAACCCAUCUGUGUUUAAGAGAAGAGGAAGUUUGCAUUAAGAAAUGCUCCCGCCACCCACCACCCGAGCAAUUAGAGUAAUGGUUUUCAGAAUUCAGAUUGAACACGUGUUUACAAGCACCCAGGGUUUGAGUGUUGAAUGUUGGAUUCUGACCCUGUGAAAGGCCAAGAUGUAAGUAGUGAGAAUAGACUCUUUUUCCGCACCAGGUGUGCUGCUGAACAAAUGCUUUUCAUCAUACAGCAUCUCAUUUAAUCUGCCACAACUCAGCCAGGUGGGAACCUUGUUUUUCAGAUAAAAACA
rnacentral:lncRNA from 1 species